CCUACGGGAGGCAGCAGUGGGGAAUAUUGGGCAAUGGGCGCAAGCCUGACCCAGCAACGCCGCGUGAAGGAAGAAGGCUCUCGGGUUGUAAACUUCUUUUAUCAGGGACGAAGCAAGUGCCGGUACUUGAGGAAAAAGCCACGGCUAACUACGUGCAAGAAGCCGCGGGAAUACGUAGGUGGCAAGCGUUACCCGGAUUUAAUGGGUGUAAAGGGCGUGUAGGCGGGUAAGCAAGUCAGAUGUGAAAACCAUGUGCUCAACCUGUGGCCUGCAUUUGAAACUGUUGUUCUUGAGUACUGGAGAGGCAGACGGAAUUCCUAGUGUAGCGGUGAAAUGCGUAGAUAUUAGGAGGAACACCAGUGGCGAAGGCGGUCUGCUGGACAGCAACUGACGCUGAGGCGCGAAAGCGUGGGGAGCAAACAGGAUUAGAUACCCUGGUAGUC
rnacentral:rRNA from 1 species